rnacentral:hammerhead_ribozyme from 1 species
GCACUGCUGAAGAGUCCCACAACAGGACGAAACGGCCAUUCAGUGC